rnacentral:lncRNA from 1 species
UUUUCCACUUUGUAAAGAUCGACACACAGAAAUAUAGAGAUUCAGCUCUCUAUCUCUCUCUCUCUCUCUCCGUUCUUUUCUUCAGUUUUAUCUCAAUCAGUUUGCGAUAUUCGGCAUGUUAACAUGGUAUCAAAGCAGUGAUUCCGAUUCUGCUCGUCACCGGCUUUCUCGCGUUGUUACCCUCAUGAAUUUUUAUCCGAGUUUCG